CAAAGAGCGAGUGAGUUAGCUGAUUCCACCACUUAAGGGUUACUUAGCUAGCCGUCAGAGGUUGAGCAGCUACAGGCUUUCCUACAUCUCCCAGAAUGCUGAGCGGUCCCGGGUAUUUAUCUGCUGUGCUGAGAGAAACAUAGACACCACGAGAGAAAUCGGCAAAACAAGAACCAAUGGAUGGCUGUUUCAGCAACAACAACAACAAAACAAACAGGACAGAAAAUGGAAGCCGAAGCUGCUCAGACGUCGGUGUGAAGGGAAGCACAAGGCUGACCGCUGGUACUCAGAAGUCAUUCAGCCCUGGAAACGGUGCGGCGGGGGCUGAGAGCAGAGCAGAAACAUAAACUGCACUCACUGUAGUUCAGCUUCGGCUGCAUUCUUUAUCAUUAAAAAC